rnacentral:tRNA from 2 species
AUCCUUCUAGUAUAAAAAAUAUAUUUGACUUCCAAUCAAAUGAUCUUUAAUUAAACCAAGGGGGGGAUA